AUAGUGCCUGGUGCCUGGAGACUCUCAGCUCCUGAAAUCUUAACUGAGAGAACUGCAAAUGCUAAACCCUUCUUGGUGUCAAAAUGUAGUGUGGAUGACCCUCAACUGCUAAAACUGGAGCUGAAAAACAGCUGCAUUGCACUGCAGCCUCAAAGCUUCAUACAGCCAGCUGUAAGCUUUAGAAUUCAAAUGGAUAUACACGAUUAUGCAGAGGGACAACAUACCACUGUAUAUGAGUGAAAGCUAUGGGAAAAAAGCAUCUAUUUGUUGAGACAAAGAAGACCAGCAGUCUUACUAUUCAAGGAAGAAUUCAAGAUAUUUUUUAAAACCACAAUACACAAUCCAUUUUAAUAAGGUAUUAAUCAAUUGCAUGGAGGGUAAUCUUUGUGACUGGAUCUCAUCUCUUUUGUGUGAAGUUGGAGGAGGAGGAAGAGAAAAGGGUCUACUGCAUUUGUGUCAUCACUCCCAUUGCCUCAAAAUCCCUCCAGGUUCCCUUUACAAAUCUAAGACUGCAUACAUGGGGAAGGAAGUAUGUGGGGAGACAGUCACCCCACCUGAGAAGACCACAGAGAUUUCACAGGAGAGGCAAUACAGCCUGAAGCUAUGGACUUUUUCUGCCGUUGUCUUUUGUGUGGUGCAAGCUCCAAAGAAAGAAGUAGUAGAAAACCAUAAUGUGGCUUCGCUGGAGUUGCCUGACCAGGAACAGGAAGAAAGCCACAAGGAGAUUUGGUGCUAAUUAUGGAGAAAGUGCACUGCAUGCUUUUAUCCAGGAAGUCAUCACAGAGAAAUCAAUGUCAUUGAUUCUAAUGCUGAAGCCAAAGGUAGGAACAAGGAAAAUGCCUGCAAUAACCUAAAGUAUCCUGAGAUGCUGUUGGAAAUGAUGCUCUCAGUAUGUUUUUCCAUCUAAUGCAAGAACCAAACAAUGUUGUUAAGGAUGUGGAAAACUAUUUCUUGAACAAGUAUUGUUCUUGAAUAAUAGUUGAUCCCAACUCAGUUAUUGCCAGUAAAGAAUUUUCUUAGCCAUCAGGACCAGCUAACUCAACAAAGACACCUCUACAUCAAAUUGAAUUAAAUGAACCAGAUACUUUAAUAUUCUUUUCAAGGUUCUGUUUUGCUCUUGACUGGCUGGCCAAGUGAGCAAAGAUACUUUAUUUAAAAAUAUAAGAAAAACUCAUUGCAAUGAGAGAAGCUGUGUAAGUUAACCCAAGAUACUGAGAUGUAAUUGAAUACUCUUCACAGACACUGGAGAAGAUAGUGUUGAUAAUAAAGCCUUGGCUGUAUGCACAGCACAGAGACAGAAAAGUGUAACAGAUUCAGCAAUCUUGGCUUUGUUCAUUCAUAAGUUCCACUUGUAAACCUAAAAGGAUUCUAUAAAAACUUAUGACAUUUAUGGAUUAUCAGUCAAAUGCCCCUGAUAAAAUAUUGCUAGCCAAACAGCAAAAAUCAGCAUGAUUACUCAACAAAGCUUAGAAACCCCAAAAAUCCUGGACAUUUCAGUAGCUUUUGUCUAACUGCUCAUCAGUUGUUUUGAAAGACCCAGAAGAGAGUCUAUCCUUCAAAAGAUGCUUCAGACAUUAGAAAUACAAGCUAAACAUAAAUAUCUAUAUUCCAGUUCAAUUAAAUAGUGGCAGCGAAAACAAAUGAAACUCUGCCUUGAAACCUAUGUUGAUUCUGCAUGUUACCUUUAUGCCACCCUGAACUGCUGUAUUGGACUCAGUUAGAAUACUUUUUUGUUAUGGUUAUGAAGCUUCCAUAGUGGACUGAUACUUACUCUAUUAGCUAACAGAAGAAAAUGACUCCAAUCUCUGCUGCUCUCUAAAAAAGGUAAGCAAACAAUUAUAGGUGGCAUUGGUCCUUAGGCAAUCUGCUUUGGUUCAUCUUGCCCUGUUCUAUUUUUAUAGGUGAAAUAUAGGAACAUAGUGAUAUAGAUUUGGCCUAACAAUGUCCUGUCAGACUGAAUUCAUGAACAUCUCACAGCCUCUCUAACUGCCUAUCAUCUUCAAGACUAUUCUGGAUGCAAGCCUUCAAAGUCCAAUUAUUACUUGCACAGAGUCUUGGAUGCCUGAAACUUUGAUAAAAUACCUUAUAAAUCUCUACCCAAUGUCUUCCUCCUACAGAAACUGGAUCCAACAAAGAAGUAUUUGUAACAAAGACUUUGCUAUGUCUGGCCAAACUCCAGGAGAAAGAUACAACAAAAAGACUUCUGAUAAAAAAAUUAUAAUUUUUCUCAGAAAAAUUAUCACACGUCAUGUGCAUGGAAGUUGCCA